GUGCGCUUGUUUUGAUUCCACAAGUGAGCCUCGUUUUCCCGAGGGGCGGGGCUGCUUUUUUUUCAUGGUGAAAGCAAGUGUUGGUGGUUUAUGUAAUAUUACAAUACGUUAGACGAGUGUAACCAGCUUGAUUAAGGUGACGUCACAAUUUUCACGGCACCAUAUUGCCGGUCAAGCAGAGCUGGUCGACAAUGUGGGAGACAUUGAACCGGAGGAGAAUAUUUACAAUACCCGAGACCUGUUGUGCUCUUGGUUGUCACGACAGACGAGACAGAUAUUCAAAGAGAUCAUUCUAUGGAAUACCAGCUGAAAAGACCAAAAAAUACCGAUGGAUUUCGGCAAUUAAACAUGAUGGUAAAAUGUCGCAGAGGUUCACGGAGGUUAAGCGCGGCCGCAAUCGCUUCCAUGUGAAAAAUACAAUGGAGGUGCAAAUUGACCACCAGGACGAAGAUUUCACCUUUAGCACUACUGAUACCAAUGGUAAGCGCCCGGCAGAGGACGCGGACGAGGAGCACGCUUUUAAGCGCUCGCGCAACGCCGACGAGAUGCUGGAGCUGCGCGUGUUGCUGCAGAGCAAAAACGCCGGCGCCGUUAUCGGAAAGGGCGGCAAGAACAUCAAAGCGCUGCGCUCCGACUACAAUGCCAGUGUAUCAGUCCCAGACAGCAGUGGCCCAGAGCGGAUCCUGAGCGUGAACGCCAACAUCGACACCAUCGGAGACAUUCUGCUGAAGAUCAUACCCACUUUAGAGGAGUACCAGCAUUACAGCGGCAUCGACUUCGACUGCGAGCUCCGCCUGCUGAUCCAUCAGAGCUUGGCGGGCGGCAUCAUCGGCGUGAAAGGAAGCAAGAUCAAGGAGCUGCGAGAGAAUACACAGACGACCAUCAAGCUAUUCCAAGACUGCUGUCCGCAUUCUACAGACAGAGUUGUGUCUGUUGGCGGGAAGCCGGAGCGAGUCGUGGAAUGCAUCAAAGUCAUCCUGGAGCUGGUGGCUGAGGCUCCGAUCAAAGGCCGCACGCAGCCUUACGACCCCAACUUCUACGACGAAACAUACGACUACGGCGGCUUCACCGUCAUGUUCGAGGAGAGGAGCCGAAGGCCCAUGGGGGGCUACCCCAUCCGCGUGCGGAGCAGCUUCGAGCGCCUCCCCCCCGUGCGCGGCAGCCGCCAACUGCCCACCUCGCGCCGGGACUACGACGAUUUGAGCCCCCGUCGGGGUCCGCCGCCGCCACUGAGCCGUGGACGUGUGGGCAGCCGAGCCCGCAACCUGCCACUCCCGCCGCCGCCACCUCCGCGAGGCGGUGACAGAUUCUCCCACAGCAGCUAUCACGACGACAGACCAAGUGACAGAAGAAGUCGCGGAGGAGAGCGCUACGACAGCAUGAGGCCUGCGGUUGCCCGGCAACACUCGUCUCCUUGGUUGCCUCGUGGCAAGCAACGUAUGCCGUCCGGAGAUCCGCCGGGCGAGCAAAGAGAGUCGUUCCUGUGCAGCGUGGCUUCAAAUUUAUCAUAAUUAAACCACCAUUUUGCCGUUAGUAAUUGGAUUAGGUGGAUUUAUGGCGUCAAACAGAGGCCAAAUGGGUGCGACCGGCGGAGGUCCGCUGACUCACAUUCAACUAAGACAUGACGUCAGCCAGAAAAAGUUUAAAAGUUAGUCUUCUUAAUAAUCCAAAGCGGGAAUUCAGAACAUUCUUUGAGAUAGAGGACCCCCACCCCCACCCAAAACUAAACUAAAAUACAGUGAAGAAAAUAGUAUUUGAACACCCUGCUAUGUUGCAAGUUCUCCCACUUAGAAAUCAUGGAGGGGUCUGAAAUUUUCUUCGUCGAGAGAUAAUCUAAAAAGAACAAUCCAGAAAUCACAAUGUAUGCUUUUUUUUUUUUUUUUUAAAUUUAUUUGUGUGAUACAGCUGCAAAUAAGUAUUUGAACACCUGAGAAAACCAAUCUUAGUAUUUGGUACAUUAGCCUUUGUUUGCGAUUACAAAGGUCAAACAUUUCCUGUAGUUGUUCACCAGGUUUGCAGACACUGCAGGAGGGAUUUUGGCCCACUCCUCCACACAGAUCUUCUCUAGAUGAGACAGGUUUCAGCUCCCUCCAAAGAUUUUCUAUUGGGUUUAGGUCUGGAGACUGGCUAGGCCGCUUCACUCUUAACCACAUUCUCAUUUGCUAUUCUUCUUACGGAGCCACUCCUUGAUUUUCCUGGCCUUGUGCUUCAGGUCAUUGUCAAGUUUGAAAGAUCCAAACACAACCCAUCUUCAAUGCUCUGACUGAGGGAAAGAAGUAGUUCCCCAAAAUCAUACAUUGUGAUUUCUGGAUUUUUCUUUUUAGGUUAUCUCUCUCAAAGUGGACAUGCACCUAGGAUGAAAAUUUCAGACCCCUCCAUGAUUUCUAAGUAGGAGAACUUGCAAUAUAGCAGGGUGUUCAAAUACUUAUUUUCUUCACUGUAUAUCGGUAACCAUCCAGGACAGAAUUUAGAUCUAAGACACUGGACAGUUUUUAUUCAGACACAAUGCAUAUCAUUAAAGGGAAGUAAACAUGAUCCUGAUAUUAAUCAAUAUCUGCACCGACAUUGGCAUUGAUAAUGCCAUAAUGUACAACCAGAUUGAUCCUGCUCUGACUUUUUGUAAAGACAAGGAACAACAUUUCCAAACAAGGCAAAUACAUGACAUCAGAUACAGUUUUCUGUUGCCGUUGCCAUUUUCCAACUCCCCUCACUCACCCCAACCACCACCGCGUCCCUGUGGUCCCGGUCACGUGACUUCCAAGUCGGACCACGGGUUCAGCCGAGCAGGCGUCAACCCACGAAUGGGUCCAAGGUCGUAAAAGUUAAGACUUGACCCAGUUAGAGUGUGUAUAAGAUAAGUUCUCCAUGCGAUUGUACUGUCAGAGACUUCGUUCCAAAGUUCAAGUUGUGCCAGAGGGACUGCAGGUGUGACAUUUCAGGUCAACAACGUGUGAAACAUUAAUAUGUGCGCGCGCGUCCGUCUGCAUGCCUUACCGCGGCCGUGUGUGCACCUGGAUUGAUUCCAGAUCCUCAGUUGGUCGAGUUAGUUAAUCUCAUCUGUCAGAAAUUAUAUAUAGAAUGAAUAUGAAGAUGAGUUAUUAUAAUUCCAAGUCUGACAGCGUGCCAUCUUUAAUCUGACACUAAACCAUCUUUUUCCUUCUUUCCUGUUCCUAAAAUACAGAGCGGAGGCGGUUAUGGUGAGUCUCACCAUUUGUGUUAAUCCAGAAUGCAUUCAAAUGAUUGAAUUUUUUUUUACCUGUUGUGGUUUUGGUCUUGAACGUAUCCCCGCUAUAAAUGGGGGUGGGGGGGGUUGUUCAACUGUACAAGUAAUGUGGGAAGUGUAAAAAUAAACCUUUUAUCUUCUGUUCUGAUGUUUUCAAGAUAACAAUUCCUGGGAUCACUUUCAUUCUGGUGGCCGAGGCUCAUACGGUGACAUCGGCGGUCCCGUCAUCACCACGCAGGUCACCAUCCCCAAAGACCUCGCCGGCUCCAUCAUUGGCAAGGGCGGCCAGAGGAUCAAGCAGAUCCGC